GUAAGAAGAAAGAGGAUUCGAAAGGGCAAAAUUCAGUAUCUGAUCAAAUGGCGAGGCUGGCCGGAGACUGCAAACACAUGGGAACCUGUCGAUAAUCUAAUGACGUGCUAUGAUGUUAUCGAUGCAUUCGAAGCGAGCUUGCAAUCAGGGAAGCAGCGUAAGCGUAAGCGCACUCAUGGGGUUAAUGACUCUCAAAUCAAAACAAAACAGCAAGAAGAACAUCAUUCCCCUGCAGAUGCAGUGAAGCUUAGGAUAAUUGAGGAACCUGUGCCUCUGCCUACAUUGGAUCACGUGGAUAGAAAUGCUAGUGGUUUUAAUAAUUUCAAAGUGGCGAAUGACAAUGAUUUAAUGUUGGAUUCCUCUCUAAAAAAAAUUGAAGAGCAAAACAAAUUGAAUUUGAAGCUUACUGAACUAAAGGGACUGAUGGCAACAAUAGAGGCCUCUGUUGAAAAGGGUGCAAUAGAGGCCUCUGUCGAAAAGGGUGCAAAAGAGGCUUCGGUGGACAAUGGGGCGCUGGCAACCAAAGAGGCCUCUGUGGAAAAUGCACUGCUGGCAACAAAAGAGGCCUCUGUGGUAAAGGGAUUCAUGACAG
rnacentral:misc_RNA from 1 species